rnacentral:lncRNA from 1 species
AUGUCGGCGCUGCUCUUCUCCUGGGGACCUCUGGUGCUUCCCGCCAGCCACAACGCAGCUUCCUCCUGGGACAUGCAGCUCCUGCCUGAAGCACUCCCGAGGAGGGAGCUGACUGGGCUCACAGUGGAGUCGGCAGCCCUUGGCCAAACAGGAGCAGGACAGAAAAGCAGAGACAAGCCAAGCUCGAUCUGGAAAACAGAGUUAGAACUGCAGAAAAACGUAAAGAAAUGACAAAGCCAACUCUUACUGAUUGUGUAAGUAUUGUGCUUACAGGACUAUAAUAAC